rnacentral:piRNA from 1 species
AAUUACAAUAAGACAGUAAUGUGUAGC